ACGCACCCUUCGGGGUGAGUGGCGCACGGCUGAGUAACACGUGGGAAUCUGUCGUGUAGUGGGGGAUAACGCACCGAAAGGUACGCUAAUCCCGCAUACGCUCCGCAAGGAGGAAAGGCGCAAGUCGCUAUACGAGGAGCCUGCGGCCCAUCAGGUAGUUGGAGAGGUAACGGCUCACCAAGCCUAUGACGGGUAGCUGGUCUGUGAGGACAACCAGCCAGACUGGGACUGAGAACGGCCCAGACUCCUACGGGAGGCAGCAGUAAGGAAUUUUCGUCAAUGGGGGAAACCCUGAACGAGCAACGCCGCGUGGAGGACGACGGUCUUCGGAUUGUAAACUCCUUUUAUACGGGACGAUAAUGACGGUACCGUAGGAAUAAGCCCCGGCUAACUCUGUGCCAGCAGCCGCGGUAAUACAGAGGGGGCAAGCGUUGUCCGGAAUUACUGGGCGUAAAGCGCACGCAGGUGGUCACGCAAGUGGUGUGUGAAACCAAUCAGCUUAACUGAUUGACGCCAUGCCAAACUGCGAGACUGGAGGGAUGGAGAGGUUGUUCGAAUUGCUGGUGUAGUGGUGAAAUGCGUAGAGAUCAGCAGGAAGACCAAGGGCGAAAGCAGACAACUGGCCAUCACCUGACACUGAGGUGCGAAAGCGUGGGGAGCGAACUGGAUUAGAUACCCAGGUAGUCCACGCCGUAAACGAUGUAUGCUCGGUAUCUGGACUGUUACAGGUUUGGGUACCUCAGGAAACCCGGUAAGCAUACCGCCUGGGAAGUACGAACGCAAGUU
rnacentral:rRNA from 1 species